GCACCCGUAGCUCAAUGGAUAGAGCACUGGUCUUCGGAACCAUAGGUUGUGGGUUCGAGUCCCCCCGGGUGCGCCA
rnacentral:tRNA from 1 species